rfam:Equus caballus chromosome 20, whole genome shotgun sequence.
CCAAAGGCUCUUUUCAGAGCCACCUUCCAUUUUCUUGGAAGAACUG